GGUCAAAACUUGAAUGUGAGAAGUCUCGUUUGUUGAUGAAAUUCGAUGUAUACAGGGGAGAAGGGGCAAGGGCAGAGAAGGCUUCUGGAUCAGUCAGUGGUCAGACAGUUCCUGCAGUUCCCUGUGAGUAUCUCCAUUCUGCUGAGACAAAUGGUUUGAGAGGAGAUUUCUGCAUUCGCUUCUGAUAGAAACAAGUCAGACCACUGCUUUCUGUGGGUCUCUUGUUAACACAAUCUCUCUGCCCAACAACCAGGCGAUGUAACCCUUAGAGUCAGACCCAUCUUUAUAAGCGAUUGUGAAAAACAGUGCUUUUGCUAAAAGCCACAUCCUCUUAUGCUGGAUCAGCAGCCUGCUUAGUCGACCACACUUGAACUUCUUGAGAAACACUAAUAUAAAUGACCCAAAUACGAAAAAGAAAGCCUGCUUCAGUAGCCUUGACCUGGCGCCAAGACCCUUGAACUAGUGGUUGUCUAGGUUUAGGUUUUUGGCCUUGUGUUUCUGCAUUUCUUUCCCUUGUCAUUGGUCUUAUUUAUAGCUAGUCAGUAUUUUUUAUUAUUUCAGUAGCUGUCAAACUAUGAGAAGUAUUUCCUCUGUCACUUCAGCCCUUGUGUUUAUCACAAAUGAUUUGGUGAUAAUCUAUCUGAAAACGUGAUCUUUGCUGUUAUCUCAGGAAACCACUUCAUGAGGCUCAAUGCUUUCCCUGACAGUUUCUCUGUCAUAACCUUAAUGAAAACAUAUUUUGGUUGCCUUCUCUUCACCCUCGAAGAGCUGUUCAGGUGACCACUGACCUUUUCUCCUCCAGCUCUGAUGAGGAGAGUUUCGAGUUUCCAGUCUCUUCCUGCUGUUCCUGAGGACGGAAUCCCAGGACUGUGUUGUCCCACCUCCCGCCAGGACAGGGGGAACUCCCCCCCGGGCACCUGGGACCCCCCAGGAAAUGGGGGACACCCCUGCCGCAUUUUUCGGACCCUCCCGAGUCGCAGGCGGUCCGCAUGGAAGACAGCGAACCAAGGAGACGACAGUGACGCAUGCGCAGUAGCGACACCGAAGCCGCGCGGUUGCCAUGGCAACAACGGUCAAACAGGAAGUCGCUGCGGCGCAUGCGUAGAACUGACUAUGAAGCAGCACAGUUGCCAUGGCAAGAGCAAGCAAUUGACCGAGAGCAGGAGAGACACGUUUUUCAGCAAGAGAUACAGAAGCCGGAACAACUUCAGCUUAAGAUUCCACAAAGGAUUCAGCCUGUCAGUGAACAUCUGAGCAGAGAGGUAACGCGUGGUAUGACUUGAACUCAAGGAAUAGAAACGGUACGCUGAUGGCUGUUCAGAUCCUCUAAGGAAACUAAUUGAUGGUUUACCUAACAUGCAUCCAUUCAGAAGCCAGGAAAGUCCAUCCCCUCAGAUGAAGGGUACCAUGGUGGGCAAAUGUGGGGAAACUGUCCCCUGGGUGUUUUUUGAGUCAGUUGGUUGGGUGGUUUCAGUAGCAGAGACACAGAAACUUCAUAAUUUUCAAAAAGACUCACUUUUAGGAGUACUUUAGCAUUUCCCCGUGUUGUUCUGUGAUCCCCUGUUUGUAGGGCAGGUAGAAGCACGGCAGGGACGAUGUUACCAAGGCAUCAGACCUGAGAUGCAGUGGCACUCUCUGUGUGCACGUACCCAGGUGUCCUGCUUUGAAGUAAAACCGGACCAAUUUUGUGUUCUGUAACUUUAUAUUUUAGCUAGACCUCCUCUAACUCUCUGAAAUUAACGGCAUAUUGUGGAGAAAAGUGCUCAUUCUCCGAGUGAUAAGACCAAUGUUUGUGCUACAUGCCAAGGAAUGGUAUGCAGAGAGGCCCUUGCUUAUACUUCUUGCUAUAACAACCAAGGUCAGCCAAUUUGCGUUAUUUGCCCCUUAGAGGGUUGGAAAUGGAAAAACGUAGAGGGGUCACAUCUGUGGGGAGGAACGGACAGGACAGGAGAGGUGACCCAAAUCUGACCAACUGGGGUAUUCUAUCCCAUCUGCUCCCUGCUCAGUAUAAAAGCUUGAGGGAUCAAAGGGUCAACUCUCUUCCUGUGUUGGCCGACAUCCGAAGAGGACCCUGUCUGUUGAUCUGCCUUUGAUCCCGAUCUGUGUGUUCAUGACUCCAGAGCUGGAACCCAGUUCCCAUCUGUCGCUGCGCCCAGUCUGGGACUUCCUCAGUGCCUGCCAGUGAUGGGACUGUCAUCCUGGGAGUUUGAUACGGUUUUGUAUAUAUUGUAUCUAUUUCAUUAUUUUUUUCCUC
rnacentral:lncRNA from 1 species